UCUGGUGACCAGAUGCCAGGGGUUCCACCCGUUCCCAUCCCGAACACGGCAGUUAAGCCCUGAGCAGCCAAUGGUAGUGGAGCGAUAGGCUCUGCGAGAGUAGGUCGUUGCCAGAU
rnacentral:rRNA from 1 species